rnacentral:rRNA from 1 species
AAAUUGAAGAGUUUGAUCAUGGCUCAGAUUGAACGCUGGCGGCAGGCCUAACACAUGCAAGUCGAGCGGAAACGAGUUAUCAGAACCUUCGGGGAACGACAACGGCGUCGAGCGGCGGACGGGUGAGUAAUGCCUAGGAAAUUGCCCUGAUGUGGGGGAUAACCAUUGGAAACGAUGGCUAAUACCGCAUGAUGCCUACGGGCCAAAGAGGGGGACCUUCGG